rnacentral:rRNA from 1 species
CGCUGGCGGCGUGCUUACACAUGCAAGUCGAACGGAGCUUAAGAAGGAAGCUUGCUUUCAUUUUAAGCUUAGUGGCGGACGGGUGAGUAACGCGUGAGCAACCUGCCCUAGAGUGGGGAAUAACACCGAGAAAUCGGUGCUAAUACCGCAUAAUGUCGGAGGACCGCAUGAUCUUUCGACCAAAGGAUUUAUUCGCUUUAGGAUGGGCUCGCGUCCGAUUAGGCAGUUGGCGGGGUAACGGCCCACCAAACCGACGAUCGGUAGCCGAACUGAGAGGUUGAUCGGCCACAUUGGGACUGAGACACGGCCCAGACUCCUACGGGAGGCAGCAGUGGGGAAUAUUGGGCAAUGGGCGAAAGCCUGACCCAGCAACGCCGCGUGAAGGAUGAAGGUCUUCGGAUUGUAAACUUCUUUGAUUGGGGAAGAAUAAAUGACCUACCCAAAGAACAAGUCACGGCUAACUACGUGCCAGCAGCCGCGGUAAUACGUAGGUGACAAGCGUUAUCCGGAUUUACUGGGUGUAAAGGGCGUGUAGGCGGCUUUGCAAGUCAAAAGUGAAAUUCCCGGGCUUAACCUGGGCGCUGCUUCUGAAACUGUAAAGCUUGA